rnacentral:rRNA from 1 species
AUGCCAAUGUUGCGUCGCGUGCGGUCACGCACGGGCACAACGGCCGGCGUCGACGGCGAGGACCGCCUCAGCGCACUACCCGACGAUCUCAUCCGCCUCAUAGUACGCAGGCUGGACACCCGCACCGCGCUGUCCACCGCCGUCCUGGCCAGGCGUUGGGCGCACAUCCCCCGCGAUCUGCCGGAGCUCGACUUCAGGGUCAGCGAUGUGCUCCCGCCCGAGUACGACCGGACCGUCGCCCUCCGCCGGCGCAACAUGCCGCAUGACACGUUUCUGGCCGAGAUGCUGGACCGUCUCAUGGCACGCUGCGAAAUCGACACGAUCACGGCGUUCAUCGACGGCAUCACCGGAUUCUUGGAAGCGGGCGGUGGCCCUGCUGACGGCGACGCACGUCGGCGCGCCAAGACCCUGCGUCUGGAGUUCUUCCAGGCACACGAUGGCGGCUGCGUCGUCGACCGCCUGAUUGCCGCCGCGGUAGGCGCAUGGGGAGUGGAGGAUCUGGAGGUCGUUGCCAGGCCUCUCGUUGAACUCAGCGUGGGAUGGUCUUCGCGGGGUUAG